GUUAGGAAUAUUGGACAAUGGGCGCAAGCCUGAUCCAGCCAUGCCGCGUGAGUGAUGAAGGCCUUCGGGUUGUAAAGCUCUUUAGUCCACGAAUAUAAUGACUGUAGUGGAAGAAUAAGCCCCGGCUAACUUCGUGCCAGCAGCCGCGGUAAUACGAAGGGGGCGAGCGUUAUUCGGAAUCACUGGGCGUAAAGCGUGCGUAGGCUGUUUUGUAAGUCAGAAGUGAAAGCCCAGGGCUUAACCCUGGAAUUGCUUUUGAAACUACAAGACUCGAAUUCGGGAGAGGAUAGCGGAAUUGUCAGUGUAGCAGUGAAAUGCGUAGAUAUUGGAAGGAACACCAGUGGCGUAAGCGGCUAUCUGGACGAGUAUUGACGCUGAGGCACGAAAGCGUGGGGAUCAAACAGGAUUAGAAACCCGUGUAGUCC
rnacentral:rRNA from 1 species